UAUUCUGGAACAGAGAAAAAUACAAGUUAAAACCCACUAUCACAUUUUGCUCUCUUGUGUGUGGCACUGCUAGAUGAUUAUGGCAGUUCCCAAUAUCCUACCAUGUCAUUUCUCACAGAUUUGCUUUUAUGCAAAAAAAUUUAUUGUUAACUCUUGCAAUGGUUGAGGUAGUGUUUAAAUGUAAAGGCAAAAAAUAAAAUGUCACAACAACACAACUUUAGGGACUCCCACAGUAAUCCAUAAACAUUCUCAACAAUGCAAGUGCCUUCCUAAAUUCCAAAAGGCUCAUUCCCGUUGUCCUCCAAGGCUUAAGGUAUUAGGGACACUCUGACAGUUAAGAGGUUACUGGGACUCAAUGAUCUGAUUACUGGUGCUUCUUUUAAAAGUGCUAGAGCUGAUCCUGGCUACUGCUUAUCAACUGGGAUAUGUUGCCGGUAUCUCUUCUUGUUUCUUUUGAUCACCUGUGUUUUGGGACCAACUGACUGGUAACUGGGCAGAGGCUUGACAGUUCUGAGACUGCCAUCUUCUCCAGACCUUUGUUCAGGUGUUUCCACAGUAGCUGGCCGUAAGCCCAUUUUACUUCCAUUCCCUCCCUGUCAAGUAGGGAUUCUACCUCUUCCUUCCUUUUGGAAUUGAGCAGGUUUGUCUCAGCUAUGCAUGCUCAAAAAGCUGAAUCCAGAAUUGCAGAAAUUUAUUCUUAAGAAGGCAUGCCUGCCAAAACAAGUCUGGAACUCUGUUAUUUUGCUACAUGUGCAUGAUUAUAUUUAAGCUCUGAAGUAAGUCUGAGAAUCUCCAGUAAGGUUAUCUUAAUACCAUACCUAUGUACAACCUGGCAAGACUGAAAGCAGGGUCUAUCUAUGCAAUGAGCCUUUGGUUAGCUCAACAUCAUUGUUGGGGAAUAGCCAAAAGUGUUACAAGUACUUUGGCAAAUAAAGUAAUUCAUGCACCAGACCCUGGGCAACAGAGAAUAUGUAUGAACUUAUGCCAAGGACACUUCACAUAAUGUAAGUACAUAAAGGAAGGAAAUGGCAAGGAAGGAAAGCCCCUCACAGAAUUUUCUACGCUCUAGUUCCAAAACUAGCAAUUUUAGGAGCUAGCCAUUCCCCAGGAAAAUGUUAUUCAUUAGAUUUCUGUCCCCCCCCACCGUUUGUAUUUUAUUUUUAAUAAUUUAUUCUUCUCUGUGUAUUCAGUGUAUGUAAUCCUUCAUUGCACAUAGUUCUAAUCCGUUGAUGAGGAAAGUCAUAUUGGAAGUCACUUAGGAGUCUAGUGAAUACGUUGUGAUUCAUAAAACACGUUGGAUACAAUCAACAAUAGCAAAACACAAAUUACAACCAGCAAUUGUUCGUUUCAUGACACCACAAGUUAACCGUUCAACAGUUUUCCUCUGCUUCCUCUUUCCAAGGUAUUAUCAUUAUUAUUAUUAAAUUUAUACACUGUUCACCCAAAGAUUUCAGAGUGAUCACAACAGAAAAAAAUACUAAGACAAGAACCUGUUCAUUGGCUCUGUAUGCUGUGACUUUAUAGGAGUGGGCCUUCCUGUAUCUGAUGAAAUGAGAUCUGCUCUACAGAAGCUUAUGUCACAAUCAUUGAGGCAAAGGGAUCAUCCCAUGGCAUCAUUCAAGGUGAUAUAAUGCAGCAACCUUGUUAAAGCUAAGCAGGUCUGGCUAUGGCCAGUGUCUGGAUGGGAGGACCACCUAAUAAUCCUAUGUACACUGUCUUGAGUUCCAUAACUGGACUGUUGGGUUGGGGAGGAUAUUAAAAAAUUAUCUGUGUGUACUUUAACAGAACACUGAUUUUCUCUCAUCCAGCUAGGCAGGAAAGCCUCUAAGAGUUAUUUAAUGCAUCUUCUAAUUAAAACAACAAAAAGCUUA